AUGGUUGAAUGCUUCAAUAGGGUGCUCAAAGGUGCACGUGGAUUACCCGUGACGGCAAUAGUUCAAUACACAUUUGACAAGAUGAAUGCGUACUUUCUAAAGUACUCGAUGGAAACUGAUGCACAGAUAGCGGGUGAGAACCCACGCAAGUACAAGUACAAGUUCCCACCCAAGGUUGAUGAAUGGUUAGAAUUUCAAUCACGAAAGGCGGACUCAGAAGACGCUAUAUUAUAUGACAACGAAGAGUGGAAGUAUGAAGUGAAAGAGCCAGGAGGAACCACAAACGAUGGCCGGCAACAUGGAGGUCGGGCUUUCAAGGUGUCUUUAACACAAUGUGAUUGCUCUUGCGGGAGGCCAUUGUUGCUUCAUCUCCCAUGCUCACAUUUGUAUACCGUCGGUCGCGUUAGAAAUGUGGACAUCAAUCACCCACGCACCGUGAGGGAGUUGGAGUUCUCAAUCAUGACGGUCAAGAAAACAUGGGCUCCCCGCUUUCACCCAUACUUUGACCAAUCACAAUGGCCGGAGUACCAUGGAGUUCAACUAUGGCCGGAUCCGGAGUUGAAUGUAAACAUGGGGUAG
rnacentral:rRNA from 1 species